rnacentral:rRNA from 1 species
UACGAAGGGGGCUAGCGUUGCUCGGAAUCACUGGGCGUAAAGCGCACGUAGGCGGGUUGUUAAGUCGGGGGUGAAAUCCCGGAGCUCAACUCCAGAACUGCCUUUGAUACUGAAGAUCUUGAGUUCGGGAGAGGUGAGUGGAACUGCGAGUGUAGAGGUGAAAUUCGUAGAUAUUCGCAAGAACACCAGUGGCGAAGGCGGCUCACUGGCCCGAUACUGACGCUGAGGCACGAAAGCGUGGGGAGCAAACAGG